ACUGUCAUUUCCCUUUAACAGAUGCUCAGAGACUCUGCUGGGAGGCACAGCCUGCAAAAGCAGAAGGAGAAUCCGUUUCCUGCAUCCACUCGAUUGAUCAUAAACUCCCAUCUUCUGCACAGUGAGCCAGGAGGGGCCAAGCCAGACCCCUCCUCUGAACGAAAGCCCUUCUCUUCUCAUGCAGGAUGAAAGGGUAUAAUCCAGUUUGGACAAACAGGAAGUGAUAUCAUCUUUCCUGCCUGCAAAAGAAACCCACGUUGGAUUGACACUGAGCUUUUCAUCAGUACUGCACUACCCAGCAUUUGACAGGAUCAUUGUUUAUUUGUUUGUUUAUAAAAUUUAUUUGCGGUCCA